rnacentral:rRNA from 1 species
UUCUUUAAGUUUUUAUUUAAAGUAAAACCUGCUCAAUGAUUUAUAUUAAAUAGCCGCAGUCAUCCUGUGCUAAGGUAGCAUAAUCACUUGCUUUCUAAUUAAAAGAUAGAAUGAAAGGUUAAACGAUAAAAUAUUAUUUCAUAACAAUUAAUAAACUUACCAUUAAAGUUAAAAACCUUUAAUAAAAUAAUAAGACGACAAGACCCUAAUGAACUUAACAUUUAGUUGGGGCAACAAAUUAAAAACUCUUUAAUAUUUUCUAAUAAUAAAAAUUAAUAAAAAAUCUAAUCUAGUUACCAUAGGGAUAACAGCGCUAUUCCUUUUAAAAGCUCUUAUUCAAAAAGGAGAUUACGACCUCGAUGUUGAAUUAUUAACCCUGUUAGGUGCAAAAACUUAAUAAGGAAGUCUGUUCGACUUUUAAACUUAU